GAGUUGCAAAACUCCCAACCAUUGUGAACUUACCUCACCGUUGCUUCGGCGGGUGGCCCCACUCCCUCGUCCGGGGUGGGGCCGCGCCGGCCCCGGCUCACGGGCGCCGGCAAUCCCGUCAAAGGACCUGAACUCUUAGUCAUCAUUGGCCUCUCUGAGUAACUUAUACAAUAAGUCAAAACUUUCAACAACGGAUCUCUUGGUUCU
rnacentral:misc_RNA from 1 species